GGAGAGGUGGCUGAGCGGUUGAAAGCAGCAGACUUGAAAUCUGCCGUACCUUUCGGGGUACCGGGAGUUCGAAUCUCCCCCUCUCCG
rnacentral:tRNA from 1 species